AGGCAUGAAAGAAGUUGUAUUGCAGUGCAACACUCUGAAUUUAUUCAAUGUGGUAAAGCCUUUGCAUAUCAUAGUCUUAGACAAAGGCAUGAAAGAACACAUAAUGGGGAGAAAGACUAUUACUGUAACCAAUGUGGUAAAGCCUUUGUAAUAAGCAGUCAUCUCCGAAUACAUAAACGAAGAAAUACAGGAGAGAAACCCUAUGAAUGU
rnacentral:lncRNA from 1 species